rnacentral:tRNA from 1 species
GCCGGGGUCCCAUAGCGGCUAUUGGGGCGGCCUCGAGAGCCGCUGCCCCCUCGGGGGGCGCGCGGGUUCGAGUCCCGCCCCCGGCG